AUUCCGGGCCCGGCGGCCGCGGGGAGCGGGUCCCCGUUAGGAACGGGGCUGCUGGCCUCCUCUUUGCCUUUUGGGGGUUCUUUUUGUAAUAACAGCAGGGCAGCCUCUUCUCCAUGGCUUCAGAAGCCGGGCAAAUUAAAAUAACGCGCCUGCUCCCCCGCGAGUUGCGGGGGCAGAGCUGCUGGCCUGACCCUGGCCGGACCCCCACCGGCCCCUUUGGGUGUUCUGGGUCUUUCUUUUCUUGCCCUCGGAUUACAUGACGUUAUUAGACAGUAUGUUUAAAAUUUUAUUUAAAGAAAUGAGACCCCAUCCGCCUGAAAACCGAGACCAACCCCGUUUGGUACAACCACAACGAGGAGCUCUCCAGCGCCAGGAGGAGGCCCGAGGAGGCCCCGAGGCUCGCAGCCCCAGGCCCCGAGCCCACCUGGGACACCUCUCCCUGAGGAUCCAGGGCGAGUGACUAAACAGCAAGUACAAUUCUGAGAACUGUGGAACUUCAUCCUUUCAUUUUAAGAUUCUCCUGUCUUUUCUUGAUGGAAUCGUGUAUUUAAAUCUUGCAAUCACCGCUGGGAAGUGAGCUGUAUCAUCUUGAGAAAUCAGACCACAGAGCUGGGCCUGCAGCUGGCAGGCUGGGUCAUCUUUAAUCGCUUAACCCUUCAUAUCAAAGGAUGGGUUGUAGUAGCAGAUUCCUCCUCAAGAAUUUGCCAUGGCAGAUUUUCUCAAGGAAAAGCUGGGAGUUAAAAUGAAGCAGAGUAUGUACAGCAAAAACCUUGCCUUUCAGUGGAACAUUACCAAAUGUGACACAGACAUCUGAAAGGCAGUUGUACUCUGAAGUUGUCUUCUCCUGCUGCUCUUGGGAGCCCUUAACCAACAUAAUAUCGAGGAACUGGUGCAAGCCUGUUGGAGACAUGGGGCCCAGUGACACCUGCCACCCCAGCUGACAGCCACCACCAACUGCCAACUAGUGAAUGAAGCCAUCCUGGACCAAGCAGCCCGCAUCGCACUUGUGAGUUAUGUGCAGCCACAGGCGUGAGCACUGAGGAGGCUGGAGGGAGAACUGCCCCGCUGAGCCCAGCCAUCACUGCCCACCCACGUGAUCCCGAGUCACUAAGUUUUGGGAUGGUUUGUUACACAGAAAGAGCUUAUUAACUGAUCUGGUUGGUAAGAGAGGGGAAAAACCUCCUUAUUGGAGAAAGAGGUGUUUGGUGACAGCUGGUAGGCAUGAAUCACAAGAAGAGAUGUAAUUCCGCGUAAACAUUCUUUAUAAUCCUGUUCUUAUUUUAUGAGUUUAAAAACAUAAAAAUUAGCUCUUAUUGGAGCACCUACUAUUAAUUCUCACACAGGAAUGCACAUUAACAAGUCAAGCGUGGGCAGUGCUGGCAUGCUGUAAUAAUACUUUACCUGGGCGCAGGGAAGAAAGCCAGAGAGAAACCCACCCAGGGAGGACGCCGAGAAUGCUGCCCUGGAGAAUCUGCAGUGAGGCCAUGACUUGCUCUUCAGAAGUGAAAGGAUUCCUCUCAUCCCCACUUCUAGUCCGGCUCCAUGGGGUGGGCAGCACUCUGCAUCUAUUACCCAGGAGCUCACCCCAGGCGUCUUGACUCCUUGAAGAACAGCGCCUAUAAAGUGAGGCUCUGAGAGAAACAAGAUUCUCUUCCCUGCCUGAGGCCUGCCUUUUGGGAACCUGCUACCUCUGAAUAAUUGACUCUAGGGAUGAUUGUCCCUCUCAAGGGAGACCAUGUGCAUUUCCAAGGACAAGACCUUUACCCUGCAGACCGUAACAGGGUAUCGGGUUAUGAUGAUUGGUCUAUUCUAGAUGGCUCUGCUUAUCUGUAGAAGCAGAGGUUGUGUGAGAAAACUGUGUGUGCGUGUGUGUGUGCACGUGCACGUGCAAAUGCAAGAAUACUGGCUCAGAAGUCAGGGCACAUGACUUUUGCAGUUGCAACUCCAGUCCUGCCUUACAAGAAAUUCCUACUUGCUGUGACCUGAAGAAGUUUAGGGUAGACUCUAACCUGCUAUUAAUACCGGUACUUUGGGCUUGAAAGACAUUUUAUUUCUAAAAGUCCUGUUUCAAAACACAGGAAUACUCACAAACCCUUUGUUAUUGGUUAACACCUAAAUGGAAAGUAGUGGAUAAGAAGGGGUAGAUGCUUUGGAGCAAUUAGGGAACCCUGAUGCUGUGUGGAUACCAGCACUUACUACAUUUCAUACUUUUAAGUUUUAUCCAGGCCUGGACCUGCCUAGCUUUCUUGCAAAUGAAUACAUGUCCCACACUGCUCAAAAGCAUGUGUUUUAUCAGUCAGGUCAAAGGCUCAAUAUGACUUAUCUUUCUUCUUUUUGUAUUUAUUUGGUAGAUUUAAGAACAUUAUGUAUAGGAGAGAAAAAAUGAUUGGGUUAAUUAUAUUAACUCAACGGAAACUGGCUUUGUUAAGUAUUAGCUGUUGUCAAGCCCUAUAUGAAGUCCUUUAUCCAUUAUUAUUUAUCCAGUAAUCGGGUCGUAGUAUUAUUAUUCCAGUUUUCCAGAUAAGGAAACAGAUUCUUAACUAGAAAGUUGAGCGGUCUCAUGUGUGGUUGCUGCUAACUGUUGGAAGUAAAACCUGAA